UUACGGUCAAAUCACAUUGAAACAUGGUUCCCGUACGAUUGCUGAAAUUAAGCAACGUCGAGCCUGGUCAGUACCUAGAUGGGUGAACGCUUGGGAAUACCAGGUGUU